rnacentral:rRNA from 1 species
UACGGGGGGGGCAAGCGUUGUUCGGAAUUACUGGGCGUAAAGGGCUCGUAGGCGGCCAACUAAGUCGAACGUGAAAUCCCUCAGCUUAACUGGGGAACUGCGUCCGAUACUGAUUGGCUUGAAUCCGGAAGAGGGAUGCGGAAUUCCAGGUGUAGCGGUGAAAUGCGUAGAUAUCUGGAGGAACACCGGUGGCGAAGGCGGCAUCCUGGACCAACACUGACACUGAUGAGCGAAAGCCAGGGGAGCAAACGGG